UUCACCCUGCUCCAGGCAGCGUGGUCUGUAUGGCUCCGCCCUGGGCAGGAGGAGAAAGAAGAGGGCCAGGCACCACGUGCCUGCACUCUCCCUGGAUGCUGGAGGCUGCUCCGCCGUGGGCAGGAGGAGAAGGAAGAGAACUGGGUGCCGCCUGCCUGCACUCUCUCCGGAUGCUGGAGGCUGGAGGCAGUGAGGCAGCAACAGCGCGAGGGCGAGGCGACUUUGGAGCUGCCUCAUGCAGCGACCUCGCCUUCCGCUGCGCCUCCUCCCAGAACCCAAGAAGCCUGGAACCUGUGGCGUCCAGCCCUGAAAGGAGGAGACGGCAACCCAGCCGCGCGUGAGUCCGGGAGUCUGGGAUACCGGCGGCAGAGGAAGGACAGGCAGGAGUCUCGGCCUCUCGGGGAGCGACGUGCCGGGAAAGGUUUGCCUGCACUCUCCCUGGAUGCUGGAGGCUGGAGGCAGUGACGCAGCAACAGCGCGAGGCGACUUUGGAGCGGCCUCAUAUAGCGACCUCGCCUUCCGCUGCGCGUCCUCCCAGAGCCCAAGAAGCCCGGAACCUGUGGCAUCCAUCUCUGAAAGGAGAAGACGGCAACCCAGCCGAGGGACUACUGGGUUGGGGUCUCCACGACCGAGCUGGUCUCAUCAAGUGGCGUCCAACAAGGGGCUCAAACCCGGGUUGAGGGGUUGCUGGAGCGACGGAGAACGUGGAACUACACUGGAGGACACCAGAGUACUCUUAAGCAAUCCCUUGGCCAAAACCAGCAACUGAUUUGGAUACCAUCAAGACACCUGAAAUCUUGUCAUGAGCCAGAUACUGAGGAAGAGAUUUUGGGAAGAACCCAAGGACCCCCCAGUUGCAGCCAUGUCAAGACUGACAAUAAGGAAGACAUCAGUCCCAGCAAGCAACAUUCAUCGGGCACAGCCACCCAUGUGGGGCCAGAUCAAGAAGUUGACACAGAUGGCGGAAGAAAAUCUGAAGAAAGCGGAUGACCAGCUACAAUGAGUAAUCUAAUGGCUUUGUGUAGUCUGCAGAUGUGGAUCCCGAAUCCUGCGAGAAGUAGCCCACCAUGACGAAGCUGCCUUUGCUUUUAUCGCUUUGCAAAAACAGAAAAGGGGACAUGCUGGGAACAGGCCCUAAGCCUGUCAUAAACAGGCCUUAAACUGACCAUGAACAGGAUUUCUGCACGAAUGUGACGUGCUCCUGAUGGCUAUGACGCCCACUGCUAGAAGUUGUUAGUUUACUGGAGCAGGGUAGGGAACACCUGGCCCACCCGGAGCGGAAAACUGCUCAAACCACAAACAACAGCAUGAGUGGCCUGAGCCUUAACAACAUGUUUUUGCUGCAGAUAAUCGGCCAGAGACUGUUUCUCUACUCCUCUCUAAGUAUGCUUUGUUUUUCGUAAGGAAUGCUUUUAGCUAAUCUGUAACCUAUAGAAACAAUGCUUAUCACUGGCUUGCUGUCAAUAAACAUGUGGGUCAAACUCUGUUUGUGGCUCUCAGCUCUCAAGGCUGUUUUCCCCCUGAUUCCCACUUUGCACUUUAUUUCUGUGUGUUUGUCUUCAUUCCUCUAGCACCACUGGGUUGGGGUCUCCUUGACCAAGCUGGUCUCGGCACAUAUGCAUGUAUGCCCAGGUCCUGAAAUCAGCCUUGUGGAGCCUGUGGGUAGGAAAAGUCAACCCUCUGUGCAUGUAGGCCUGGAACCUGACCAAUACUGUAUUUUCCUACCACGUUUGGUUUCAAAUGUGGAAACUGCCCAUACGGACCUACUGCAUUUGUUUUUAAAAAUCCUCUGUAAGUGGACCUGCACAGUUCAGGCCCAGAUUGUUCCAGGAUCAACCCUACAGUAGAAAUCAAGUAUCUUUUUCAUUGUCUCUUGGGAUCUGCCUUUUCACCAAUAAAAUAUGAGGGCUGUUGGGAGCAGGCCCCCCCAAAUCUGGCCAUAAACUGUCCCCAAAACUGGCCAUAAACAAAAUCUCUGCAGCACUAUAACAUGUUCAUAAUGGCCAUAACGCCCAAGUUGGAAGGUUGUGGAUUUACAGGAAUGAGGGCAAGGAACACCUGGCCUGCCCAGGGUGGAAAACCACUUAAAGGCAUUCUUAAGCCACAAACAAUAGCAUGAGUGAUCUGUGCCUUAAGAACAUGCUCCUGCUGCAGUUAACUAGCCCAACAUAUUCCUUUAAUUCAGUCCAUCCCUUCGUUUCCCAUAAGGGAUACUUUUAGUUAAUUUAAUAUCUAUAGAAAGAAUGCUAAUGACUGGUUUGCUGUUAAUAAAUACGUGGGUAAAUCUCUGUUUGGGGCUCUCAACUCUGAAGGCUGUGAGACCCCUGAUUUCCCACUUGACACCUCUA
rnacentral:lncRNA from 10 species